rnacentral:lncRNA from 1 species
CAGAGGAAGGAGCUCCUAAGGAUGGGGGCAGUGGUGAGGAAACAGGCCACUGAGACAGUGAUGGUGUUUGUAGGCAAAGAAGCUACUUGUAUUUGCCAACCACACCAGGAGGCCAGACUCGCCGCAGGGCACAGCACCCUCCAGAAAAACAGGUCACUGAAAAUAAUAUCAGGGGAGGAAGUCAAGAAGGCUGCUGUAUUCAUUCUGCUUUAAUGAGUAGAGCUCUCCUCUCUCUUUCUCUCGGCUCCCUUGCUUUGGAGGGAGCCAGCUACACAGAAAUUCAGGCAGUCUAUGAAGAGGCUCACCUUGUGCCAGUGACCACUUGAGUGAGCCAUCUUAGAAGUGGCUCUUCCAGCCCCAGACAAACUUUCAGAAACUAAAGCCCUGCUUCACAUCCUGACUAGAACCUUAUGAGAAACUCUGAGCCCAACCCACCCAGUUAAACCACUCCUGA